UACAGAGGUCUCAAGCGUUGUUCGGAUUCAUUGGGCGUAAAGGGUGCGUAGGCGGCGCGGUAAGUCGGGUGUGAAAUCUUGGAGCUUAACUCCGAAACUGCAUUCGAUACUGCCGUGCUUGAGGACUGGAGAGGAGACUGGAAUUUACGGUGUAGCGGUGAAAUGCGUAGAUAUCGUAAGGAGGACCAGUGGCGAAGGCGGGUCUCUGGACAGUUCCUGACGCUGAGGCACGAAGGCCAGGGGAGCAAACGGGG
rnacentral:rRNA from 1 species